rfam:Myotis lucifugus cont2.57403, whole genome shotgun sequence.
GCCGGUGUGGCUCAGCGGAUAGAGCGUCGGCCUGCGGACCGAAGAGUCCCGGGUUCAAUUCUUGUCAAGGGCA